rnacentral:rRNA from 1 species
AACGAACGCUGGCGGCAGGCCUAACACAUGCAAGUCGAACGCCCUCUUCGGAGGGAGUGGCGCACGGGUGAGUAACGCGUGGGAAUCUGCCCUUUGGGUUCGGAAUAACCCUGGGAAACUAGGGCUAACGCCGGAUAAGCCCGAGAGGGGAAAGUUUACGCCGAAGGAGGAGCCCGCGUCCGAUUAGCUAGUUGGUGAGGUAAGAGCUUACCAAGGCGACGAUCGGUAGCUGGUCUGAGAGGACGAUCAGCCACACUGGGACUGAGACACGGCCCAGACUCCUACGGGAGGCAGCAGUGGGGAAUAUUGGACAAUGGGCGCAAGCCUGAUCCAGCCAUGCCGCGUGAGUGAUGAAGGCCCUUCGGGUUGUAAAGGUCUCUUUUGGCGGGGUACUGGAUGGAUGACGGCUGACCCCCGGCAAGAAAUUAAGGCCCCCGGNAAAACUUCGUGCCAGCAGCCGCGUAAGACGAAGGGGGCAAGCGUUGUUCGGAAUUACUGGGCGUAAAGGGCGCGUAGGCGGCGCAUUAAGUCAGGCGUGAAAGCCCUGGGCUCAACCUGGGAAUGGCGCUUGAUACUGGUGUGCUAGAGAGCGGGAGAGGAUGGUGGAAUUCCCCAGUGUAGAGGUGAAAAUUCGUAGAUAUUGGGAAGAACACCGGUGGCGAAGGCGGCCAUCUGGACCGUAUCUGACGCUGAGGCGCGAAAGCGUGGGGAGCAAACAGGAUUAGAUA